UGUUCGCGUCGUAUCAUCUGUCGCUGCGUUUAGUGCUGGUUGAUUCUUUUUUAAGUUCCUUGAUAAGUGACUUUAAUUUUUUUCUCAUUGCAUUAAUUCAUGCUUUGGUGCGAGAUCACGUAAAAUAAAGAUGUUCCAAAACAAAUGGUUUUGUUUGUGAUAUUGCACGCGGUUCGCAAAAGUGAAAUGAUUCGAUUGUAGACAUGUUUUGAGUGAUUUUCAUGGCAGCUUCUAAAUGGUGCGUUAGGAGAGCUGAUUUUCAUAGAUUUUUCGAUUGAUUUGGAAUUCAUAUGAGUGCUUUGAAAAGUGUCGAACGGUGGAUAUUGGCUAUUGAAAAUUUUCGUAGCGGAAAAUUGCUAGACAAUUGAGGAGAAAAAAAGUUGCACAAAAGAUUACAACUUCAGAGCUCUGUGUUUGUGCGUAAUCGGAUGAAAAUAAUUUUGUAUGUGUCUGUCUACGAAAGCAGACAAAUAUAGAAAACGGAAAGGAUAUCUAAACUACACAGCAGUGGCAGCAGCAGGCCAGGUUUGGACAUUUUGCUGGGCUCUUCAUGUAUUGGGAAUAUGAAACGCACCAUACACGAUCAAAGUUGGCCGCAUAUGAGUGAGAAUAAGUGCAACCAGAGCGCUGAAAGUGCCCAUCGAAAGGUCAAAAUUCCCAUGUAUUAGUGCGAGGCAUAAGAUUGGACGUUGGAAUGAGAACAAAACUGGUCUGUUCUGCUCAUCCGCACCGCAGAAGUUACUCGCGAUCGCGAAUUUAGGUGUGCUGAUGAAUGAAUUACAUUCAGUGUAAGUGUUACCAUCGUUUUCAUAAAAACGAAAAACAACCUCCAGUGCGAAUCGGAGAAAGUGUGAAAACAAAGAUUCGUUUACUUCGUCUGGAAGCCAUUAGCGGCAAACGUGUGUGCAUAGUUAGAUAGCAGCGGAAGCUCUUCUGUUCGACCGCAUUCAGAAUAGACAAAUCCGACGGGUACCACAGCAAGAUGGAAAAUACCGAUAAUGAUGUUUUAUCUCAUUUAAUUGAAGUUACUGUUUGUGACGAGAGCGUGAAAGAAAUAGGGGUGUAAUCGAUUUUUUCAUGCAAUAUUUAUUUACCAGGGAGAGUGCAUUGUAAAGAGUCCGACUGCUGGUGGUAUCUGCAGUCCGGAAACUGCCUUCAAUCGCAUUUAGAUUGCUGAAUACAUACAAGCAUUUACGAAAAUAUACAUACACCCGACCAUACUCAACGAUGGAUAUAGGAAUGGAGCGUAAUGAGGGAGGUGCUGCCACCAUAGGCACUCUCUUUCAGCACAUCGUUAACGAAAUGAAGAACACCGGUCCACUAUGGGAGGAUUUAAUUGCAAAAGCCACAAAGCUGCACGCUUGUUUACGUGCUGCGAUACAAGCUUUGGCAGCUUAUUUGGAGGCAUUCCAAAAAAUAGCUGAUGCCGCUACGAAUUCGAAGGGUGCCACCAAAGAAAUAGGCACUGCAUUAACCCGAGUCUGUUUGCGUCACAAAGCGGUGGAAACACGGAUGAAAACCUUCACCGCCGCAAUGAUGGACUAUCUGAUAGUGCCGCUACAAGAUAAGUUGGAAGACUGGAAGAAACAGGUAGUCAUUAUCGAUAAAGAUCAUGCCAAAGAAUACAAACGCUGCCGAGCGGAAUUGAAGAAGCGUUCCAGUGAUACGCUAAGGCUACAGAAGAAAGCCCGAAAGGGUCAAGCCGAUAACUUGCACAUUCUAGUCGAGUCUUCCAUGCAGGAUGUAACUCUGCGACGGUGCGAAUUGGAGGAAGUUGAGCGGAAGUCGUUGCGCACUAUAAUGGUCGAGGAACGAUCGCGUUACUGUACCUUUGUAAAUAUGCUACAGCCUGUGGUACACGAGGAGUGCGAGGUGAUGUCAGAGUUGAGUCAUCUGCAAGAAGCAAUGCAGCUCAUAGCGGUAGUCACGAAGGAUCCAUCAAUACUCCCUCAAGCAUCAGAAGAACUGAUUUUAGAGUCUAAAACGAAUAUUAAUCUCUAUCCCGAUUCACCAGGGGGUUCCAACUCUCAGGGUGGAUGUUCCAACUCGUUGGGAUCGCGCAAAAGUUCCGUCUGUUCAAUCAGUUCAAUGAACAGCAGCAGCAGUGGAUCUCCUGGGCAUCAGUUCCAAAGAUCGCUCUCUCAGUAUUCCCCAGCGAUACGUUUGAAACCAGGUGAAUCUAGCGAUAGCGGGUUUUGUUCUUCACCAGCUCUGACUUCACAGGCUUCCACACUAGCUAGUCAAUCACAUGCAGUGUCAACUUGGCCACCGCAUACGCAAGAUGGAGCAGUGAAUGUCGACAGACCACAUACCAUAUCUUCAGCCUACGAGAAAGGUCAUCAAAGACCUGCGCUCACGGUUUAUACGUUCCAAAAUCCAGAAGUUAUUUCCGAGAAUCAAAAAUCUCCUGCCAAUGUAUCGUGCCGACCACCUCUUCCAGUGCGUUGUUCAUCGCUAGAAAGGCCAUUAUCGACCUCAUCUAUGAAAAAUGCAAACGCCAAUAUUCCAAGACAGUGUCCGUCACCCAUUCCAGCACAUAUCACCAAAGAACAUCCACAGCUACAGCCCACCUACGUCAAUAUGACAGAACUGGCAUCGAUGGCUGCUUCGAAAAUUACUAACAACAAUAACUCAACUAACCAGUUGCAAUCAUCGGCUCAAACUUCAAUACAACCACAACAUAUAACAUAUCAGCAACUACAUUCUCCGGUACUGUCGUCGGCUUCUUCGCUCAUUUCGCCAGAUUCAAGUGCAACCAACGCAAUUAGUUCACCUGACGUUUCAGCUUGCAGCACUCAGACUCCGCAAAACACACCUCAGACUGGAUCACCACAAACGCCUAUUUACAGCUGUAGUACCUUGGUUGUUGAAACUGGUACCAGCGAGGCAGGUGAUAGUUGUGGCGCAACCAAUGGUAACGGAAGUGAUGUUUUCUCGACAUGCGUCGGUGCUGCCGUCAACACAAAAUCUGAACAUGUUACUGCUGCUGAAAAUGAAAGUAAUAAACCAAAAUCAUCUACAUCUACGAAUGUCACCGAUGAUAACAUAUCAAAUCAAUCUAACACUAAUAACACAUCUCAAUCCAUCACAGAUAAAGAUAUACUUAAAUGUACCGGUUCAGUUUUAGAGAAAACGUCAAUGUUUGAGCAACAAAUAAACAACAACCAACAUCCACAACAGGGACCGUUGAAUACUCCCACCAGAAACGAGAACAUUUACGGACGAAAGAACGAUGACAUUAGUAAAACUUCCAGCCUAAUUGUGGAUAAAGAUGCAGAUCGGAUCGACAACGAAACUAUAGAAGAACUUAAUAAUUUAAUUGGCGAAUUAGAUUUGUUCCAAAAAGAACACGAAUUACGGCUGGAGGAACACUAUCAAUCAACGAAUUCACCAAAUGAAAAUGGCUUGGAGCAUACCAGCAAUGGUCUGCAUUUCUCGUCGAAUAAUAGUGACUCGUCGAUCAGUGAUCGUCACGAUAGGACUUCCAUUUCCAGUUCAAUGAAUAUAGAAGGAUUUAAUACGUCGUUGAAUAGCACAAAUCUAGGCCAUGAGUACUCUUUGGGCUAUAGUGACAAUAACAUCAACAUGUACAGCGGAAUCGAUCAACAAACAUCCGACUCCGAUACUGGGUUUGAGAAUCCCUCAUUCAUACACCUCAACGAUGCAGAAAUUGUGGUCAAACGACAGAAUAACUUCGAGAACGUAGAUCCAGAAAACUACUACAGUCAAAAUAUGAGUGAAAUUGUCGUACUGCGUAGCAAAGAUACGAAAAGUGAUGCAACGAGGAUAGAUGAAAAUCCCAGUACUGAUGGUCAGCAAAGAUUGAGUUCGUUCAAAUUGAACUCGAGAUCAGCCUCCCCCGCACUAUCAUCGUUCACGAUUUCUAAAUCGCCGACACACUCAAUAACAUCCUUGAUUCCUACGUCAUCAUCAGUAUCAUCUCAACUAAAUGUUGCAAGUAGUAAAACCAAUGACAACAACAAUCAUAUAAUGAAGCUGCAACAACAACAACAACCCAGUCCAUUGUAUGCCAGCACCAAUGGUAAUGGGAAGUUUUCGUUAAUCUCAAUGCCUUCUGACGAGCACAUAAAUAAUAGAAUAAAGCCAGCAAUCACACCUCGACCUGCAUCGUUAUCUGGUGCCGCUCGAGUUACAAGACGAUCAUCUAUCAACACUGUAAAACCACCACCUCCCGUUCGAAGAAGUUCCAGUGUAACACCUAAUCCAAAUACAGGAGCUAAUUCUCCAAAUCUAACUCAACAAAGUCUUGGAUACACAUCUUCAGAAAGUUUACCUCCGCCACCUGCAUACUUGCUCGACAGUACUGCUGGAAAUUCCCCAAUUCCAGGUAACGUAGCGGGCACGGUAAAGGCUCUCAAUGAAAUUCGGCAUAAGCCGGCUAGUCCAAGUGUUCUGCGGCGGGCAAGUCAAAACUUUCCAGCUCAACAGCAAUCUCCCUUGAAUUUCAAUUAUUUUGGCUUUUUUUGUUUUUCAUCAAUUGGCAAUGCGCGAAUAAAACAGCACCAUACCUCAAAUGCAUACAGCAGCACACCAAAACAUGAAACAAGUAGUAAGCCUGCUUCGCCUUACACUCCUCAGUCUCCGCCAAAUUCAUUUCAUUCUAGCGGUGAUAGUCCUAAUAUGCCAUCAAAUAGGUCGUCAAAACCGUCACAUCAUCAACACGGGAUAUACGCACAACCAAAACAGCUUUCAACUAUGUCCAGCUUCCGAACCUCGAGUCCAGCUCCUCAAAAACAAAGCACUGGGUUCUUAGCUCAACUGAAUGCGCGAAUUGCGCCUAAUAAAGCUCAGCAACAGUUAACGUCACAAAACUAUGAAGGAGUGUACCAUAGAAACAAUCCAGCGGACCAACGUUCGUUUUACAGCAGCAGCAGCAGCAGUAAUCAACAGUCACAAUCACAACAAGGAAUUUAUUCCUCUACUCAACAAUCGAGUACACAACAACAACAACAGCAACAACAACAACAACAAGCACAGUCACACUACAAUCAUCAUCAGCAACAACAAGCCGUAGCGCCAACCAAUCAAAGAGACGGUAAAACCCAAAUUUAUCCCACUUCUCAUUCCCAAAGUCAGCUGCAGCAGCAGCAUCAUCAUUAUCAGCAACAACAGCAACAACUAAAAUAUCAACAGCAACAACAAUCAACGUCCCAACAUUAUUAUCAACCGCAGCAGCAAUAUGCUACGCAGAAUAUUUAUGUCUCCACUAAUCCAUUCGUAACAUCAGUUAGUCCAGUUCAUUCCGUCUCUAGCUACUCACCUUCGUCGUUUGGAAAAUCUCCUCGUGAAAGUAACAGUGCUAGCGGAAGUGUAGGUGGUGGCCCUAGCAGUAGUAGUCACGAUAACUCCAGCCAUGACGGUGUCCACUGUCGUUCAAGUCACCAAUCUCGAAAUAGUGGCUCCGUUGGAAGUGCGAAUAUGUCGACCCAUAAAGUUCUCACUAAAACCAGUACCGGGUUCCUGGAGAAUCUGAACGCAAGACUAGCAGAACAGCGAUUAUCUGGGAAAGCAUUCGCUGUCCGAAACCUAAUCAACAGUAAAGCAUUGGAUGACGAGAAUUGCCAUAAAUACUAUCAGAAUGUUUAAGUUAUCGAACAGCAAUCAACUGUACAACAUUCAAAUAAAAUCUUGUUUGUUGAUAGCUCAUGUUAAGCCUGACCCUCGGAUAUGUCACGAGUCAUUGAUGGAUCAAAUCAAACGGGGGGCUACCCUGAAACGAAAUAGAACUGUCAACGAUCGAAGCGCGCCAAAAAUUCAUUAGAAAUCCGAAAAACGAAAAUUGAUGUCGGAACUCAACAUCAGAUACAACAACAUUCAACACAACAAUGGAAUACGAAAGAGCGGAACGAGUUUUGUUUCUUUUACAUUUUCUUAUGGAAGUGAAUAUUAGUGUAUAUUGAAUUAUCGAGAUGAAUAUUACGUCCAAUGAAUUACGGGCUCGGAUUUAAGUUUAUCAUUUUUUGUUGAAUUUCUUUUCCUUCGUGGAAAAAUAGAACCCACUAAAUGUGGAUGUGGGAGAAUGCAACGUACUUUUUGAACAGUCUUUCAAUUUGAAUAAACGACAGCGAGAGAAAAGAACAAACAAUAAUGUGGAUGAAUGUUAAUUAUACAUAUUUCAAGUGUUAUCUAAUGUUUACUAAUAUGUAUUCAAUAUCAGUUCGAUAUAUAAUAUUAACACAUUUGGGCAGGCAAUGAAUGCUAAAGUAAAUAUUUGCACCAAGCAAAGCUUUUGCCGACACAUUCAGUUUACAAAAAAAAAUUAUAUUCUCUUCGAAUAUGUAUUAUCAGUUUCUAAAUGCCAUGCCUUUGUUUAACAAUGCGUUCUUAGCACGAAUUCAUAGUGAUGGUAAAUUCCAUACCAAAGUUACAAGAAUUUGUCUCGACAUUUCAUAAAUCAAACUCAAAACAUUAUCAGAACGUAUUCUUGCGUAGAAUGUGUAUACAAUACAAUUGAAGAAGGUAUCAUUUUCUCUUAGUAUAACAAAAGCACUGAAACAAGAAAGCCUCUUUCAAGAGGAAUAUCUAUGAAAACACUCACUAUAUCAAUUAUUAGUGGUACUGAGCUAUUAGACAGAGUUGUAUAUUCAACACACAAAAAUGUAAAUCAUAUUAUUAAUACUAGUAUUUUCCCUCGACAUUUUACUAGCUGGGAAAUCGAAAAAGAAGUACUGAAUGUCGUCCAUUAACAUUUAGGAAAACCAUAUAUUUGCAUAUACAUAUAAAAAAGGCUCAACUAGAGAACUAUCUACAAAAUUCCUGACUUUUAAUAAUGCGAAACGGAGGAAUGAAAAGGCUGAUUUUAACAACAUCAUAGGAUUCUAUCAACUAGUGACAGAAUCAGGUUCAUCCUUAUUUAUUCUCGAAUCAGAACGAGAGAAAAAAAAUCAACUAUAAAAGCAUCGGAUAAGAAAAAAUAUUGUAACGUUUUACCGACGUUCGUCUUCCGCCAAAGACAAACCAUAGGAACGUGUUGAAUAACAUCAUCGAAAGUUAUUUGACCACCUUCAAAGCACAGAAACGUUUUCCUUCACGGUACCAGUUUACACAUCAAAGAGGCUAAAUUAUUAACAAAUUCAGAGGAUAUUUUUUGUUUCAAUUAUUUAUUCUGUAGGUUGAUAUUUAUUCACUCUAAGUUGUUUGUGUAUAAAUUGUUUAACAAGUACUACAAAUAUGAUCGAAUCUCGAAUAGCCGCCCUAAGCUGUAAAAGUAGUAAUUUUGCAUAUAAUUUACACCUAUCAUAAACAACCUUGUAUAUAUGCGGAAUAUUUUAGAGCUCGAUUUGUUUAUAGGUUAAUUAAUUGAAGGAGAUUAUAUAAAAUGGCAUUGUCUACAACAUCACAGUAAAAGCAGUAGGUUAUAUGGCGUUUCUGAAGAUGAAGUGGAAGAAAUGCAAGAAAGAAAAACAAUAACAAUAAUUACUGAUAGGCAAAGCAAAAAUUUUGUAUCUGCACGUAAUUUGAAAACAUCAUCUAAUGGAAAGUAUAUUUUUUCAUAUCGGACCGAACAUAGAACGUUAGUGUCUCCAAGCUAUGAAUAACAGCUGUAACAACAAACGGUAAAAAGUGUAACGUUUAAUUUAAAUCCAUCAUACACUAUCACGAACAUAUAUAGCUGUAAUCUGAAACAUAUUGAAUAAAAGUGAGUGACUGGAACAAAUAAUUGUAGCGUU